UCGAUUUGGAGUUUGUUGCCUAGAGUGAUGGGCUCCGAAGCUAACGCGAUAAAUCGACCGCCUGGGGAGUACGGCCGCAAGGUUAAAACUCAAAGGAAUUGACGGGGGCCCGCACAAGCGGUGGAGCAUGUGGUUUAAUUCGAUGCAACGCGAAGAACCUUACCUGGUCUUGACAUCCACAGAAUCUUGCAGAGAUGCGAGAGUGCCUUCGGGAACUGUGAGACAGGUGCUGCAUGGCUGUCGUCAGCUCGUGUUGUGAAAUGUUGGGUUAAGUCCCGCAACGAGCGCAACCCUUAUCCUUUGUUGCCAUUGGUUCGGCCGGGAACUCAAAGGAGACUGCCGUUGAUAAAGCGGAGGAAGGUGGGGACGACGUCAAGUCAUCAUGGCCCUUACGACCAGGGCUACACACGUGCUACAAUGGCGUAUACAAAGGGAGGCGACCUCGCGAGAGCAAGCAGACCUCAUAAAGUACGUCUAAGUCCGGAUUGGAGUCUGCAACUCGACUCCAUGAAGUCGGAAUCGCUAGUAAUCGUGAAUCAGAAUGUCACGGUGAAUACGUUCCCGGGCCU
rnacentral:rRNA from 1 species